AUUGAACGCUGGCGGCAUGCUUUACACAUGCAAGUCGAACGGUAACAGGCCGCAAGGUGCUGACGAGUGGCGAACGGGUGAGUAAUGCAUCGGAACGUGCCCAGUCGUGGGGGAUAACUACUCGAAAGAGUAGCUAAUACCGCAUACGAUCUAUGGAUGAAAGCGGGGGACCGUAAGGCCUCGCGCGAUUGGAGCGGCCGAUGUCAGAUUAGGUAGUUGGUGGGGUAAAGGCUCACCAAGCCAACGAUCUGUAGCUGGUCUGAGAGGACGACCAGCCACACUGGGACUGAGACACGGCCCAGACUCCUACGGGAGGCAGCAGUGGGGAAUUUUGGACAAUGGGCGCAAGCCUGAUCCAGCAAUGCCGCGUGCAGGAAGAAGGCCUUCGGGUUGUAAACUGCUUUUGUACGGAACGAAACGGCUCUGGUUAAUACCCGGGGCUAAUGACGGUACCGUAAGAAUAAGCACCGGCUAUCUACGUG
rnacentral:rRNA from 1 species